GACGCUGGCGGUAGGCCUAACACAUGCAAGUCGAACGGCAGCACAGUAAGAGCUUGCUCUUAUGGGUGGCGAGUGGCGGACGGGUGAGGAAUACAUCGGAAUCUACUUUUUCGUGGGGGAUAACGUAGGGAAACUUACGCUAAUACCGCAUACGACCUACGGGUGAAAGCAGGGGAUCUUCGGACCUUGCGCGAUUGAAUGAGCCGAUGUCGGAUUAGCUAGUUGGCGGGGUAAAGGCCCACCAAGGCGACGAUCCGUAGCUGGUCUGAGAGGAUGAUCAGCCACACUGGAACUGAGACACGGUCCAGACUCCUACGGGAGGCAGCAGUGGGGAAUAUUGGACAAUGGGCGCAAGCCUGAUCCAGCCAUACCGCGUGGGUGAAGAAGGCCUUCGGGUUGUAAAGCCCUUUUGUUGGGAAAGAAAUCCAGCCGGCUAAUACCUGGUUGGGAUGACGGUACCCAAAGAAUAAGCACCGGCUAACUUCGUGCCAGCAGCCGCGGUAAUACGAAGGGUGCAAGCGUUACUCGGAAUUACUGGGCGUAAAGCGUGCGUAGGUGGUUGUUUAAGUCUGUUGUGAAAGCCCUGGGCUCAACCUGGGAACUGCAGUGGAAACUGGACAACUAGAGUGUGGUAGAGGGUAGCGGAAUUCCCGGUGUAGCAGUGAAAUGC
rnacentral:rRNA from 1 species